rnacentral:rRNA from 1 species
GACGAACGCUGGCGGCGUGCUUAACACAUGCAAGUCGAACGGAAAGGCCCUGCUUUUGUGGGGUGCUCGAGUGGCGAACGGGUGAGUAACACGUGAGUAACCUGCCCUUGACUUUGGGAUAACCUCAGGAAACUGGGUCUAAUACCGGAUAUGAACUCCCGCUGCAUGGUGGGGGUUGGAAAGUUUCGGCGGUUGGGGAUGGACUCGCGGCUUAUCAGCUUGUUGGUGGGGUAGUGGCUUACCAAAGCUUUGACGGGUAGCCGGCCUGAGAGGGUGACCGGCCACAUUGGGACUGAGAUACGGCCCAGACUCCUACGGGAGGCAGCAGUGGGGAAUAUUGCACAAUGGGCGGAAGCCUGAUGCAGCAACGCCGCGUGCGGGAUGACGGCCUUCGGGUUGUAAACCGCUUUCGCCUGUGACGAAGCGUGAGUGACGGUAAUGGGUAAAGAAGCACCGGCUAACUACGUG